GCUCCCGUAGCUCAGUGGACUAGAGCAGGGGUCUUCUAAACCCAAGGUCGCAGGUUCGAAUCCUGCCGGGAGCG
rnacentral:tRNA from 2 species